GACGAACGCUGGCGGCGUGCUUAACACAUGCAAGUCGAACGAAGUGGCGAACGGGUGAGUAACGCGUAAUCAACCUGCCCUUCAGAGGGGGACAACAGUUGGAAACGACUGCUAAUACCGCAUACUGAAGGAGGGGAUUGCGUCUGAUUAGCUAGUUGGAGGGGUAACGGCCCACCAAGGCGAUGAUCAGUAGCCGGUCUGGGAGGGUGAACGGCAACAUUGGGACUGAGACAAGGCUCAGACUUCUACGGGAGGGAGCAGGGGGGAAUCAUCCGCAAAUGAGGAAAGGCUGAAGGAGGAACGGCGCGUGAGUGAUGACGGCCUUUGGGUUGUAAAGCUCUGUUAAGCGGGACGCGGUACCGGAAUAGAAAGCAACGGCUAACUACGUGCCAGCAGCCGCGGUAAUAC
rnacentral:rRNA from 1 species